AACCUUACAGACAAGAUGACAAAGGACCGAGAUAACUGGUGCUUUGCUGUACUCAAGAUGACCCAUCCUUCGCAGUAUUAAGGCUGCAUCCCCUGAGGAAGAGGAUUGGCCUGCAAGAGUCAUGUGUCGGUGCCAGAUAAAAAGCACACAUUGUAAAGUGGUUGGCAUUAGGAAG